rnacentral:rRNA from 1 species
AGUGAACGCUGGCGGUAGGCCUAACACAUGCAAGUCGAACGGCAGCACAGGAGAGCUUGCUCUCUGGGUGGCGAGUGGCGGACGGGUGAGGAAUACAUCGGAAUCUACUCUGUCGUGGGGGAUAACGUAGGGAAACUUACGCUAAUACCGCAUACGACCUACGGGUGAAAGCAGGGGAUCUUCGGACCUUGCGCGAUUGAAUGAGCCGAUGUCGGAUUAGCUAGUUGGCGGGGUAAAGGCCCACCAAGGCGACGAUCCGUAGCUGGUCUGAGAGGAUGAUCAGCCACACUGGAACUGAGACACGGUCCAGACUCCUACGGGAGGCAGCAGUGGGGAAUAUUGGACAAUGGGCGCAAGCCUGAUCCAGCCAUACCGCGUGGGUGAAGAAGGCCUUCGGGUUGUAAAGCCCUUUUGUUGGGAAAGAAAUCCAGCUGGCUAAUACCCGGUUGGGAUGACGGUACCCAAAGAAUAAGCACCGGCUAACUUCGUGCCAGCCGCCGCCGUAACAC